rnacentral:misc_RNA from 1 species
GUGAAUCAUCGAAUCUUUGAACGCAAAUUGCACUCUCUGGUAUUCCGGGGAGUAUGCCUGUUUGAGGGUCAGUUUAAAUUAAAAAUCGCGGUGUUGCUUUUUUUUGUGCCGCAUCGGAAUUGGGUUAUCUUUUCCCUUUGGAUUUUUUAAGAGACCUAAAAUUUAUACUUUGUGCAUCCCAGACGCACAUAAAGAAUAUUUUUUUUUUAUCCGUCCGGUGUCUCCAAAUUUUUAUUAGUUAUGAACAUGUUAUUUUGUGGUUACGUACCUACAAUAUACCCAUUU